GAAUUCGCCCUUAGAGUUUGAUCAUGGCUCAGGAUGAACGCUAGCGGCAGGCUUAAUACAUGCAAGUCGAGGGGCAACAGGGGUAGCAAUACCUGCUGGCGACCGGCAAACGGGUGCGGAACACGUACAGAACCUUCCUUUAAGCGGGGGAUAGCCCAUAGAAAUGUGGAUUAAUACCCCAUAGUAAUAUUUGAUGGCAUCAUUAGAUAUUUAAAGAUUUAUCACUUAAAGAUGGCUGUGCGGCUGAUUAGGUAGUUGGUCGGGGUAAUGGCCCACCAAGCCAGCGAUCAGUAACUGGUGUGAGAGCACGACCAGUCACACGGGCACUGAGACACGGGCCCGACUCCUACGGGAGGCAGCAGUAAGGAAUAUUGGUCAAUGGACGCAAGUCUGAACCAGCCAUGCCGCGUGAAGGAUGAAGGCCCUCUGGGUUGUAAACUUCUUUUAUCUGGGAAGAAAUGCUUGUUUUUUAACGAGUUUGACGGUACCAGAGGAAUGGG
rnacentral:rRNA from 1 species